rnacentral:rRNA from 1 species
AAAUGAGAAGAAUUUAACGACCUCUACGAGGAACAAUUGGAGGGCAAGUCUGGUGCCAGCAGCCGCGGUAAUUCCAGCUCCAAUAGCGUAUAUUAAAGUUGUUGCAGUUAAAAAGCUCGUAGUUGGAUUUCUGGCGGGGACCCAAGUACCCCUGGUGGGUGUGCGCGGGCCCGGCCAUCCUUCUGUCAACUUUCGCGCGUCCUUCACCGGUCGGCAAAGGGAUCAGAUAAUUUACCUUGAGAAAAUUAGAGUGUUUCAGGCAGGCUUAGCCGGAAUACAUUAGCAUGGAAUAAUGGAAUAGGACUGAGGUCUCGUUGUUGGUUACGCGGACUCCAGUAAUGAUUAAUAGGGACAGUUGGGGGCAUUAGUAUUUAUUAGCUAGAGGUGGAAUUCUCUAAUUUGAUAAAGACUAACUUAUGCGAAAGCAUUUGCCAAGGAUGUUUUCAUUAAUCAAGAACGAAAGUUAGGGGAUCAAAGACGAUCAGAUACCGUCCUAGUCUUAACCAUAAACUAUGCCGACUCGGGAUCGGGAGCGUGUGUUAUCCGCUUUCGGCACCGUA